UAGCAAGCCCCCAGCGUGCUUGGUCUGCAGUGACCUUGUGCUUUCCUACGGUGCUUGCUAGAGCAGCUUUUAAGAUGGUUUGAGGCCUUGCUGUGCUCACUGCCAAACAAGGUUAUAGAAAUUUCAGACAAUG
ensembl:snoRNA